GCAUUAGUGGUGUAGCGGUAACAUUGGGUCUUCCCAUGGCCUAGCUCCGGGUUCGACUCCCGGAUGAUGCA
rnacentral:tRNA from 1 species